rfam:Pneumocystis murina B123 supercont1.6, whole genome shotgun sequence.
GGUCCAAUGGCCCAAUGGUUAAGGCGCAUGACUACGGAUCAUGAGACUCCAGGUUCGACUCCUGGUUGGAUCG